GACGAACGCUGGCGGCGCGCCUAACACAUGCAGGUCGAACGAGCGAGCGAGAGCUUGCUUUCUCGAGCGAGUGGCGAACGGGUGAGUAACGCGUGAGGAACCUGCCUCAAAGAGGGGGACAACAGUUGGAAACGACUGCUAAUACCGCAUAAGCCCACGGUGCCGCAUGGCACAGAGGGAAAAGGAGCAAUCCGCUUUGAGAUGGCCUCGCGUCCGAUUAGCUAGUUGGUGAGGUAAUGGCCCACCAAGGCGACGAUCGGUAGCCGGACUGAGAGGUUGAACGGCCACAUUGGGACUGAGACACGGCCCAGACUCCUACGGGAGGCAGCAGUGGGGAAUAUUGCACAAUGGGGGAAACCCUGAUGCAGCGACGCCGCGUGGAGGAAGAAGGUCUUCGGAUUGUAAACUCCUGUUGUUGGGGAAGAUAAUGACGGUACCCAACAAGGAAGUGACGGCUAACUACGUA
rnacentral:rRNA from 1 species